rnacentral:rRNA from 1 species
UACGUAGGGUGCGAGCGUUGUCCGGAUUUAUUGGGCGUAAAGAGCUCGUAGGCGGUUUGUCGCGUCGGCCGUGAAAUCUCCACGCUUAACGUGGAGCGUGCGGUCGAUACGGGCAGACUUGAGUACUGCAGGGGAGACUGGAAUUCCUGGUGUAGCGGUGAAAUGCGCAGAUAUCAGGAAGAACACCAAUGGCGAAGGCAGCUCUCUGGGACGGUACUGACGCUGAGACGCGAAAGCGUGGGGAGCGAACAGG